GGGAGAGUAGUUUAAUGGUAGAAUAUCGGUCUCCAAAACCGAGGAUAUGGGUUCAAUUCCUAUCUCUCCUG